CUGGCGGCGUGCUUAACACAUGCAAGUCGCACGAGAAAGCUUUAGCUUGCUAAAGCGAGUAAAGUGGCGCACGGGUGAGUAACGCGUGGGUAAUCUACCCCUGAAUUCGGGAUAACUCCGCGAAAGCGGGGCUAAUACCGAAUAAUUUCGAUUUAACCUAGGUUUAAUCGAUCAAAGGUGGUCUCUACAUGUAAGCUUCUGUUUGGGGAUGAGCCCGCGUACCAUUAGCUAGUUGGUGGGGUAAAAGCCUACCAAGGCUACGAUGGUUAGCUGGUCUGAGAGGAUGAUCAGCCACACUGGAACUGACACACGGUCCAGACUCCUACGGGAGGCAGCAGUGAGGAAUUUUGCGCAAUGGGGGAAACCCUGACGCAGCAACGCCGCGUGAGUGAUGAAGGCCUUCGGGUCGUAAAGCUCUGUCAAGUGGGAAGAAGUUAUUAUGUGUUAAUAGCACAUAGUAUUGACGGUACCACUGAAGGAAGCACCGGCUAACUCCGUGCCAGCAGCCGCGGUAAUACGGAGGGUGCAAGCGUUAUUCGGAUUUACUGGGCGUAAAGGGAGCGCAGGCUGCCAGAUAAGUCAGAUGUGAAAGCCCGGGGCUCAACCCCGGAAGUGCAUUUGAAACUGUUUGGCNUUGAGUAUGGGA
rnacentral:rRNA from 1 species